GGACUUUCUAAGAGUUGUAUGUUUUAAAAGCUACACAUAGCUUUGAUACGCCAUAGGAAGAAAUUAGUGACAAGUAGAAGGCGUGUGUGAAUAUUUGUUUUGAGGCAAAUGUUUGUUUGAAACUUUGAAUGACUAUUAUGACUGUAAUUGAGGAGAAUUCCACCGCCACAUCAUUUUAACUCUGCCUUUCUUUAUACAGGAAUUCUGUUUAAUGGUUGCUGAACUGCCAUUAUUAAUAAUACUUGGAGAAAUGCCCUAAAAAAUUUUAACAUUCUUUGAUCAUUCUCUU
rnacentral:misc_RNA from 1 species